CCUCACCCAGGUAAAGAAGGCGCCAUGUUCGUAAUUCCUAAGUAUGUUACAUUGUUGUCUAUUGUCGGGCACUGAUUUUAUUUUUCAGAAUCCUGCAGCUCGCUCGGCCCCGAGAAUCUAAAACAGUUUGGCUCACAACUCCACAGAAGGUGACUUGGGGCAACCAGGAGACAAUAUGGUCGCCAUCCAGGACAGCAUUAAUAGCCGUACCAACAACAAGGAUUCUGGCUCUGUCACAACCCAAAAAAGAUUUGUCUGCCCUCAGUCAAGACCUGCUUAGGAAAAAGCACGAGGGGAUUGAAGAAGCAAAGAAGAGGAGCGCGUGUGUUCCUUCCAGUACAGCACAGUACGAACAUGUCGCGCGCCUGGCAACCCCAAAUGUUCGUCACAGGAGCUCCCAGGCAGUGAGGUGUCUAAAGGAGCAAGAAAAGCCACAGCAAGCACUCGCGUGAGAGAGCUCUCGAUCCCAAAGAGCUAUAUCCCUCCCUGAAAAAAAGAACUAAAGAGACAGAGACCUCAUAAUCAGCAGCGUUACUGUCAUAGUUAAAGAACAGAGAGAGUGAAAACAAGAAUAACAGAUGGACUUAAUAAAUGACCACACUAAUAAGCAUAUAAAAGGGUUUCUAUAUUUUUCUUUUCUCUUUUGUGCUUUUGCUGUCUGUAGGCCUCAGACUUUACCUUGGAACGUUUCAGUCUGAAAUGGGAAAGGUUGUGUUAUUUUAAGCAAAAUGCCAGAAUGGUAAACACUGCAAACAGGAUAACUUUUCUCAGUCGAUCAGUGUGUCUUUUGUGUGUUUUUCACAUCAGUUCACACAGCUUUAGUUUCGGUUACGCAACAAGAAUGAAGAGUCGGUGUGUGUGGGGGGGGAACGUUGCAACUCAAACACAGACCUUCUUUAAUAACUUUACAGAGUAAACUGCUUCUGUGUGUGAAUGUUGAUCCCAAUGACAUUUCUGUAUGUGAUAUAAGUAAGGAAUAAAAGAGGACGGGUCAUACUGUUGUAGGAAAGUAAUCAAUGACAGGGUGGUGCGAUGCAGCCAAUGUGAAGAGUUUUAUUCCUCCCAUACCACAGCAAUUUGUCAACACUAACAAUUUCUUUGAUUCAUUAUAGAACAUGUUGUACAUGUUGUAAAAGGAGACUCCUUUUAAAACUGCUAAAUAAACAUCUCCUCACAGAGAACAUCAAAUCAGCAAUUACACAAUUUAAAAAAUAAAAUAAAAUCUGUUUACUUGGCACAUACACCAUACAAAUUCUGUCAGAGCUGCUAUUGUAGAAAAUUAAUCAACACCCUCUGACCAGUCAGAAUCAUUUUGCCUCCACCUAUUUGUUUUGGAUUAUUUCCUUAAUUCCUAAGGAAAGUUUUUUUCCCGCCAGUUAUUUUGUCUUUCACUUCAUGGUCAUAUGGUUUUGUGUAAUUGUAUAAUCUAUUUUCUUCCAUUUGUUUUUAGUGUUUAAAAUAAACAACAAC
ensembl:lncRNA